CCUUCCCACCAUCGGACAAGAGCCGUCCUCGGCUCUGAUACCAAAUGUCACGCCCCCGCCUCUGCGAGGCACGUGAGGCACCUAGUGCCCACGUGGGAGCCACAUGAGGGGGGAACACGGGGCUCCCCUGCCAGAUAUUGUCCGGUUCUGAGGCUUCACGCAAGCGUCCUUCACCCCUCCCCGGUUUUGUUUUCCACCCAAAACGCGUCUUCAGGAUUAGGAGACACCCGCCUCAUAUGCCCAGGCUCUGAAACGAGUCUUUUCGAUGUGGGACUAUUGGGCCUCACACCCAACAAAAUUGGGGGAAUGUAACAUUAGGGGAAGGUGCACUGCAAACAGUUCACAUAACAACACGACAUGGUGGAGCACACAAGUAAGAUUAUCAUUAAAAUGUAACAAUAGUAUGAUCAUGCUUUUAUCUCAAACUAUGGUACACGAGGAUGUGCACCACACUUUAAUUUUACAUGCAACUUAAAGAGAGAAGUCAUGGAAUCAAAAUCAGGAUAUCUUCCAUACUGCCUCAUAUUUGUAUAUCUACAACAAGUUUGUUGUUUCAAGCGCUCAACUACUACAAAUGAAAUAAGCCAGUAAGCUCUUUUCGGGAGCUUUUUUGCCGAGGUUAUCGAAAGUGAAGUAGAUAACUAAACAAAGGAUGUGAAAGAGACCCCACCCAGUAAGAUCAAGUGAGGUGCUAUCCAUGAUACUGAUGUUUAGUGUUUAUGUUCGCGAUGUUUGCGAGCGCGAACGCAUACCGGAAAAAAAAUGGAAAAUAGGGCCCUAGCCUCGUCGGCCCUCCAAUUCUCAACCCCGACCUAAGUGUCUACCAUGAGCCUGCAGUCAA
rnacentral:lncRNA from 1 species